CAGGUGGCUGAGAGCCGAGAGAAGUCAUGCAAUGAACUACAGGCCCCAGAAGAUUCAGGUCACAGUACAGCAGCACCAGUUCACCAGCCCUUGCCGAAUGUGCUUCAAGCUACGUACUGUCCGAAUGGCUUUACAUUUGUCAUAUCAUUCAUUGCUCCAAACAGUCCUACAGGAAUGGAAAAGGAACUCAAGCCGGCUGGAAGCGUCAGCAUUUAGCGAUGAGGCUGAAGAGGUG